GCUUAGGACGUUUGGCUUGUGACAUUUCGGUGGCGGACACCCAACGUCUUAAACUUAAGUGAUUAAGUGAAGACCUGCACUUAAUCCUGCAGAUCCAGCACCGGGACAGGCUAGCCUUUUCUUCUCCAAGCUCGCCCGCCCUCGCCCGUGUAAACGCCCAAUGGCCGUCCUCUGUUGGACACUGGGAAGCUCUGAAGGCUCGAAGGUGAUCGUUGUUGCAGUAGCAGCUAGGACUGCAUCGCGUGGCGUGCACAGCCUCUCUCUUCUGAUGACAUGCCCAGCUGUAUCUCAGAGGAGAUUGUUAAGUCAGAACAGCGACCUCCAUGCCGACAGAGGGGAACGGCUACCAAAAUGACCUUCCAAAGGACGGCCACCUCUGUAAUGCUGUUAUACAGUGGUAACAGGAAAAUAAAGUCCUAACAGUAAAGGAAAAAGAAUCGUUUUGUAGAAAUCGUCAUUCCUGUAUAUAAUCUGUCUGAAUGAGAUGCAUUAGCGGGACACCGGUAGCUAACAUUGGAAGUAAUGUUGCAGUGCCUUGUGUGCAGAUCUUCACUACACACGUGAAAGCUGGCUUCGUAGCUAGAGUACUGCCCUCAGAGCCCCCAGGUAGUUUGUUUAAUUGCACCCAUGAAAGUUCUGUAGGAUGUGGCAGCUGGUCUUACAGAAUGCUCACCCACCCUUCUCAUACUCUUUCCCACAGCUGCCAACCGUCAUCUUGUGUUUGGUAAGAGUCGGAAAGUGAGGAAGACCACUGGGAGGACACGAACCUUGCUGUCACCCAUCUAAUAGCUGCUGGCCACCUCUGGACGGGUGAGGGAGGCCAAAGCCUAUUUGCUAAGGUGCUGAUUGAGACUCUGGAACACCAGUUCCUUCCCUUAAUAUAAAAUCAACUUGGAGCCAAGUCAUUUAAGACCUUUUGAAAACUGACUCUAAAAUAGCGUGUGCUAUCUUGAGGAAGAAAAUAAACCAUGAUUUAGUUAAUGAGAUGAUGCAUAGGGAAAGGGCAGCCUUAUAUGGUGUUCUUACACAGAGAGGGGGCAUGGUUGGUAAAAACGAGGCCAGAAAAAACCCACUUGGCACACCCAUAGUCCCAGCUGGAAAUGGACAUCUCCGUGUCCACAGCCCAGUGAGUGCCACCACCAGGUCCGACGAAUGGGUGGAGGCCUCCUCACUGAACUUGUGAAAUGGUCAGACUACUGAGCAACGAUUCUUGGGGGGAAUGACUGUGUUGUUUCUUUCUUCUUUAUAAAAUACU
ensembl:processed_transcript